rnacentral:rRNA from 1 species
UACGUAGGGGGCAAGCGUUGUCCGGAAUUAUUGGGCGUAAAGAGCGUGUAGGCGGUCCGGUAAGUCAGCUGUGAAAGUCAAGGGCUCAACCCUUGAAUGCCGGUUGAUACUGUCGGGCUAGAGUCCGGAAGAGGCGAGUGGAAUUCCCGGUGUAGCGGUGAAAUGCGCAGAUAUCGGGAGGAACACCAAUGGCGAAGGCAGCUCGCUGGGACGGUACUGACGCUGAAGCGCGAAAGCUAGGGGAGCAAACAGG